rnacentral:lncRNA from 1 species
CACGCACGCACGCACGCACACACACACACACACACACACACACACAGAAGAACAGGGAGGAGAGAGCAAGGAAGGGAUGGGGAAAGAGACAGAGAGAGAGAGAGAGAGAGAGAGAGAGAGAGAGAGACAGAGACAGAGACAGAGACAGAGAGACAGAGACAGAGAGAGAUGAAGAUUAUCGGCCAGAAUGCCAGAAUGCAAAUGUAAAAUGAGCAUUUUUCUUCAGGCCCAGAGAAGUUAGACAGCUUCAUAUAAAGGAGAAUGCAGGGGAAUGGAAAGACCUUGAUUCUAGUACCAGUUCCCGAUCUACAAGAUGCUCAUCUGUCACUUUAGCUGUAAGAAUUGGGCAAGGUCAUCCAGCAGCUGGUGGAAGUUGAAGCAGACACCCACAUCUAAACUUUGAACUGAACUGGAAUCCAGUUGCAGAGAGGAAGGACUGAUGAGCAAAGGAGUUCAAACCAGGAUGGUGAAACCCACAGAAACUGCUGACAUGAACAAAGGAAAGCACUUGCUCCCCAGACUGAUAGCUGGGAAACCAACAUGGGACUGAUCCAGACCCCAUGAAUGUGAGUGUCAGUGAAGAGACCUUGGAAAUCUAUGGGACCUCUUGUAGUGGAUCAGUACUUAUCCCUAGCAUAAGAAUGGACUUUGGGAGCCCAUCCCACAAGGACGGAUACUCCCUGAGCCUCCCUGAGACACAAGGGGGUUGGCCUUGGCCCUAUCCCAAAGAGUAAGUCAGACUUUGAAGACCACCCCCACGGAAGGCCUCACCCUCCCUUGGGAGUAGAAAGGGUAUGGAAUAGGUAGG